CGUUGGUGACGUCACCGCGAGCGCGAGAAGUCGAACUGAGGAGCAGAAACCGUUGUUAGUGUUAGUUCUGGCCCGUUUGGACCCAAACUAAAGUGUAUCAGUAUGAAGCAGGCGGUGACGGCGCAGUGAUUCACUCUCGGUGCUCGGUUCACUAAUGACCGAAUCACCGGGGAACCGACCAAAGAUAACUCACACCCGCACGGAGAAGAAGAACAAGAGGAGGAGAAGAUGAGCUGGAGUGGGGCAAAGAGAACUGCAUUCAGAUCAAAUGGAUACAAGAGGUGGCCGAGUUGUUUGAGGAUCUGAAGAAUUGAGUGUCACAAUUCAACAUGCACAUCAGUGAAACUUUUCCCUCUGACUACACCAGCACGCACGCACAGAAAUUCAUAGUGCAGGUGGCGAUUGCAGGCACAUUUUAUCCGAACUGCUUCCUCCAGGGAACUGUGGACGAGGAGCUCGCCUCCAAGGAGCUGUAGUGGUGUGUAAUCUCCCUCCAUUUGCAUUCCUCUACUAUAAACAGCUCCAGUCUCUCUUCAGACACUGUGGUCAAGUCAAAUCCAUCUCCUUUGACAGCUCCAGGGCCUAUGUAGAGUUCUACCGCUCGUCAAUGAGAGGUACUGGCGUUCUCCCAGAGGUCUCUCUGUCUCUCCUCCUCACGCAGCAGAGACUUCCUCUCCAUCUCAACGUUUAACCCGCUGGAGAGGUGGAGACUUGGGCAGGGGGGUAGUGUAUCUCACACCUCAGAUAUACACGUGGGGUUUCCAGGCUCACGAGGCAAGUCUGGAGAAACAGAGGUGGCUGACAGUGGCCGUUAAUACACGGGUGCUCUGCCCACUUCCUGUCUCACCUUAUCCAAAUCUUCUGUGUCUCGCCCCUUUCUCUGAAACUCACACCAAACCUGGGAACUACUACAGAGCCAAAAUACUGCAUGUCAUGGGGAGUAAUGUGGAGGUAACAUCUGUACACACACACGUACACCUACUAAAGCGCCUCCGUGAUGGAGAAUGGAGUGGUUACAGGAAAACUGCACAUUGAGUGUACACGUGUGUGUGUGUGUGUGUG